rnacentral:misc_RNA from 1 species
GAUGAAGAACGUAGCGAAAUGCGAUAAGUAAUGUGAAUUGCAGAAUUCAGUGAAUCAUCGAAUCUUUGAACGCACCUUGCGCUCCUUGGCAUUCCGAGGAGCAUGCCUGUUUGAGUGUCAUUAAAUUCUCAAGACCUGUCUGCUUUUUUGAUAGGUAUUGGAUUUUGGGGGUUGCAGGCUGUUUCAAAUAAAUAGCCUUGCUCUCCUUGAAUGUAUUAGUGGAGAAAAGCCAUUGAACUCCAUUGGUGUGAUAAAACCUAUCAAUGCCAGGAGCAAUAUCACUACUUCUCUCUGCUGUCUAACUGUGACUGUCUGUAUUAAUUAGUAUGGAUGGGGACAACUUGACCAACUUGACCUCAAAUCAGGUAGGACUACCCGCUGAACUUAAGCAUAUUAAUAAGCGGAGGA